rnacentral:lncRNA from 1 species
CAGCAUUUUAUUCUCCUAUAAAUGAAGUAGAUUGUAUUCCUACUUAUUGUUUAAGGAAGAAGAGGAAAAAAGUUCCACCUCUCUGUUAAUACUCUGAUAGCUUUGGGAAGAAAUUCUUACCAAUUCCAAAUUUGAGACCCAUUCACUUACCACCAUAAAUUCACCUUUAAACAACUAAGGAAAAAAAUUUAAAACCUUGUGUAGGACAGAAUCUAUUUCAGCAUUUCAGAAAUCAAGAUAAAAGUGGCUGUGAAUGCAGGAAAAAGAGGAAGAAUUUAAAGGAAUUGCUAGAGAUUUUGGAUAGAAUUAACCAAACUGAGGCGAACAGAGCUGUUAAAAAGGCAUGCAGAAUUGCAUGGGAUGUAGUCACAGCAGACAGUUGAUUCCCUUUGUAAGAUUUCCAAGCCGUUACUGGAAACAUUUAAAUUCUGUACCAAUUAAUAAUUUUAGAAUGAUCUAGAUCAGAUCAUGUUAAUAUCUAAAAAUAGUUCUUUCAAGCCAAACCUUUCUAUCAAUUCUCCUUCAUGAUAUAACUCUUAAGCCAUGGGUAAGGUUAUCACAUAAGUAUUUAGAUCUUCAAAAUCUCUACUUUAUGAAUUAUAACUUUAAAGCCUACUAAACAAUAUAAGUAUUCAUGUGGUUCUUUUGGCUAAUGGAAUUGCAACAAAACUGCUAUCCCAAAAUCACAUCAUUUACACCAAAGAAUAUAAACUGGAAUGACUGCAGGGGACCAACAGAAAACAUAAAAGUAUGACUAGGACAAAAGCUGCUGAACCAUUUCUGUCUCUACCAAACAUAACAUUCACUUGGCUGCACUACAGAGCCCAACCCAAAAACUCCCAGGACCACCGGCCAUCAGCUCACAACCUCCACUUUGCAAGCCACCACCACCAUGGACGCUACAAGGAAGGUUGAUGUCAAUAAGCAAUCCUUCAUCCCAAGAGGUAUACAAUCUGAAAGAGUCAAUAAUGAGAUUUCUAAUUUAGGGUAUCUGAUUCAGAAUGUCACAUGUCACAUAAAGUAAUGGUGAAGGAACAUGUGAGGAUAUUCACAUAUUUUUAUUUGAUUGGCUUCUUUAUUUAACCAUAUUUAAUAAGAAUCUUUAAUUAGCCUUUCAAACCUCUGCUUUCACCAGUAGCAGUGAAUUGACUGAAUUGUAUUAUCCUUUGAAUAGAUAAGCCUUAAAACAAGAACAAUUCAAGAGUCAAAAAAUAUAAUCUACUGCACUAAGAGCAUUUAUGACUGCAGUUAAUGAAAUGUAAAAACAUUACUGCAAUUGGAAAGCAUUACCAAUCUACAGUAUUUUUAAGUUAACAUUAAUU